AGAUAGCUCAGUAACACGUGGCCAAACUACCCUGUCGAUCGGGACACCCUCGGGAAACUGAGGCUAAUCCCGGAUACGGCUCGCUGCCUGGAGUUGGCGCGAGCCCGAAACGUUCAGGCGCGACAGGAUGUGGCUGCGGCCGAUUAGGUAGACGGUGGGGUAACGGCCCACCGUGCCGAUAAUCGGUACGGGUUGUGAAAGCAAGAGCCCGGAGACGGAAUCUGAGACAAGAUUCCGGGCCCUACGGGGCGCAGCAGGCGCGAAACCUUUACACUGCACGCGAGUGCGAUAGGGGGACUCCAAGUGCGAGGGCAUACAGUCCUCGCUUUUCACCACCGUAAGGAGGUGGUAGAAUAAGUGCUGGGCAAGACCGGUGCCAGCCGCCGCGGUAAUACCGGCAGCACGAGUGAUGACCGCUAUUAUUGGGCCUAAAGCGUCCGUAGCCGGCCGGGCAAGUCCAUCGGGAAAUCCGCACGCCUAACGUGCGGGCGUCCGGUGGAAACUGCUCGGCUUGGGACCGGAAGAUCCAGAGGGUACGUCUGGGGUAGGAGUGAAAUCCUGUAAUCCUGGACGGACCACCGGUGGCGAAAGCGCUCUGGAAAGACGGAUCCGACGGUGAGGGACGAAAGCUUGGGUCACGAACCGGAUUAGAUACCCGGGUAGUCCAAGCUGUAAACGAUGUCUGCUAGGUGUGGCACAG
rnacentral:rRNA from 1 species